rnacentral:rRNA from 1 species
AUUGAACGCUGGCGGCAUGCCUUACACAUGCAAGUCGAACGGCAGCACGGGAGCAAUCCUGGUGGCGAGUGGCGAACGGGUGAGUAAUACAUCGGAACGUGCCCAAUAGUGGGGAUAGCCCGGCGAAAGCCGGAUUAAUACCGCAUACGACCUACGGGUGAAAGCGGGGAUCGCAAGACCUCGCGCUACUGGAGCGGCCGAUGUCGGAUUAGCUAGUUGGUGGGGUAAAGGCCUACCAAGGCUACGAUCCGUAGCUGGUCUGAGAGGACGACCAGCCACACUGGGACUGAGACACGGCCCAGACUCCUACGGGAGGCAGCAGUGGGGAAUUUUGGACAAUGGGCGCAAGCCUGAUCCAGCCAUGCCGCGUGCGGGAAGAAGGCCU